rnacentral:rRNA from 1 species
UACGUAGGGGGCUAGCGUUGUCCGGAAUCAUUGGGCGUAAAGCGCGUGUAGGCGGUUCGGUAAGUCCGCUGUGAAAGUCGGGGGCUCAACCCUCGAAUGCCGGUGGAUACUGUCGGGCUAGAGUGCGGAAGAGGCGAGUGGAAUUCCUGGUGUAGCGGUGAAAUGCGCAGAUAUCAGGAGGAACACCAAUUGCGAAGGCAGCUCGCUGGGACGCUACUGACGCUGAGAACGCGAAAGCGUGGGGAGCAAACAGG